rnacentral:tRNA from 1 species
UGGUAUAUGAGACAAGCAGGGCGCUCACAGCCGGAAUAUCGCAAGCUGAAGGAAAAGUACGGAUUGUUUGAGAUCA